GCCUGGAUAGCUCAGCUGGUGAGAGCGCGUGGUGCUGAUAACAGCAAGGUUGCAGGUUCGACACCCGUAUGGGACA